rnacentral:misc_RNA from 1 species
GUGAAUCAUCGAAUUUUUGAACGCAAAUUGCACUCUCUGGUAUUCCGGAGAGUAUGCCUGUUUGAGGGUCAGUUUAAAUAAAAAUCGGUGUGGUUGUUGCAUUUCGUGGUGACGCAACGGAUUUGGGUUGUAUCGUCUUUGGUUAAGUGAUUUAAAAUUUGGAAUGAUUUUUUUCGUAUGUAUUUAAAUGACUUUACGUAAGUUUGUGAUAUCGUAUGUUAGGUGUGGUACUUGUUAUGAUUCGUGUCA